AUAUUGGUCAAUGGGCGGGAGCCUGAACCAGCCAUGCCGCGUGCAGGAGGACUGCCCUACGGGUUGUAAACUGCUUUUGUACGGGAACAAACCCCUUUACGAGUAGAGGGUUGAGUGUACCGUAAGAAUAAGGAUCGGCUAACUCCGUGCCAGCAGCCGCGGUAAUACGGAGGAUCCGAGCGUUAUCCGGAUUUAUUGGGUUUAAAGGGUGCGUAGGCGGCAUGCUAAGUCAGGGGUGAAAGACGGUGGCUCAACCAUCGCAGUGCCUUUGAUACUGGUGUGCUUGAAUGUGGAUGAGGUAGGCGGAAUGUGGCAAGUAGCGGUGAAAUGCAUAGAUAUGCCACAGAACACCGAUUGCGAAGGCAGCUUACCAAGGCGCGAUUGACGCUGAUGCACGAAAGCGUGGGGAUCGAACAGG
rnacentral:rRNA from 1 species